UCCUACGGGGGGCAGCAGUGAGGAAUAUUGGUCAAUGGUCGGGGGACUGAACCAGCCAAGCCGCGUGAGGGAUGAAGGUACAGAGUAUCGUAAACCUCUUUUGUCAGGGAACAAAGGCGGGGACGUGUCCCCGGAUGAGUGUACCUGAAGAAAAAGCAUCGGCUAACUCCGUGCCAGCAGCCGCGGUAAUACGGAGGAUGCGAGCGUUAUCCGGAUUUAUUGGGUUUAAAGGGUGCGUAGGCGGACUGUUAAGUCAGCGGUAAAAGCCCGGGGCUCAACCCCGGCGAGCCGUUGAAACUGGCUGU
rnacentral:rRNA from 1 species